CCUCGUGUAUCUCUGUGUUCUAGUGUGUUUUGUUAGACUCUUGAGUUCUGUGUGUCUUUAGUGUUUCAUGAUUUAUUUUGUAUUGUCCUCAGUGUUUCUCCCUGCCUUGAUUGCCCUGAUUGUCUUCACCUGUGUCAUUAGUCUCACCUGUGUUUGUUUACUCCCUUGUCUAUUUAGUCUCUGUGUUUCUUCCCUCCUGUGUCAGUUCAUUGUUGUUUGUAUGUCCCCUGUGUUUUUUGUUUUGAAAGUAAGUUUUUGUUGCCUUUGGCCUUUUUGUUUAAUUAAAGAUUUUUGGUUAUUCUGCA